rnacentral:lncRNA from 1 species
CACUAGCACUGCUUGGCUAUCAAAGCUGGGCAAUGUGAUCCUCUAAGCCACAUGUUUAGGAAUUGACAAACAAUUGUGGAGGUUGGCAAUUCCAAAAUCUGAGGAGUAGGUAAACUGGAAGACUAGAGACCCUGGGAAGAGUUGAUGUUACAGCUUGAAUCUGAAGGCAGUCUGCUGGAAGAAUCCCCUCUUUCUUGUAGAAGCCCCUUGACUGGGCAAACUUCAAACAAGUGACUGAGCUCCCUUAGCUGCCACUGAUUGGACCAGGAUGGACAACAAAUGUAGGAGGAGUUCAUCUGGAUCUAGCCUGAGCCAGUCAGAUAUCCCCUUUGAAUCCAUGCCUAUAGAAAUACAAAAAAAUGGAAGCCAGAGGAUGAUGGAUCCUUGAAGUAAUAAGUCAGGUAGAUCUUGAAAAUUUUUGACUCAAUCCAUAUUGAUGAACACAAGAAUAAUUCUGGUCUACAAAGAGAGGCAAGAGAAAGACUUGGGGUGUAUUAAGAAAAACAGCUCUGUGGAAGUUUGAGUGACUCAUUGCAGAGAGGAAUUGAUGAAGUCAACAGCUGCUGGAAAAACUUCUUUUUCCUUAAUAGCUGUAUCAACAUGUGGUUGCUAUUAUUCAAAGUGGAUGAAAUAAUUCUGCAAGCCAGUGGGAACAGGAAGCUUCAUGAAGAGGAGAAAGGCUUAGGGCUCAGAAACCGCACAGAGCAGGAGGAUAGAUGAAUGUAAGGAACAGAGCUUUGAGGACAGACACCCCUGGAUUAGACAAUAGCUCCAAAACUUAUUAAUGAUGGUGAAUGGGUGACUUUCUAAAACCCUUUAAACCUUAUUUGUAAAAUGGGACCAUCAAUAUCUAUUUUGAAAUCUUGUAUAAAUUUGCAAUAAUGUCUGUAAAGUAUCUGACAGGAGCUCAGAAAUGACACAAUUCUUUAAAUCCACUCACACCCAACUUUUAAACAAAAAGUAGCAGUAUAUCCUACACACGAUUUUUAAAUUUUACUAUUUAAGUUAACAUCAUGCUAUGAACAUAUUUCCAUGUCAUUAAAUAUUCUAUUCCAUCCAAUAUUUAAAAGCUAAUAGAAGUCUGUUAAAUGCAUAUGCCAUAAUUUAUUUAACCAAUUCGGUUGUUUUAAUAUUUAUGUUGUUUCCAAUAUAUUAUGCUAUUGACAAUAAAAUGAUGAACAUUUAUGAUGAUGAA